AAACAAAAUCAACACAGAUAGACAGACUUCUUGCAGGUUUCAGUAAGUCAAAUUUAAGACCUUUUUAAGACAUUUUAAGACCAUAAAGAUUGAAAUGUAAGAC